rnacentral:rRNA from 1 species
AUGUACCCAUGGAGUUCCUGCCAAUGCCGGUCAAGGGACAAGGAGCCAGGGUGCACAAAGGGGCCACAAUGUGGGGCGAACAUCACGUCACGGUGUCCGAGCGAGCUCAAGGCGCCGGGAGGCUGCAACAGCGCAUGUAACGCGCUUCAAAACCAGUCCAGUUUGUACUGCUGCUAUGGAAGACAUUGUGAAUCCAACGAAUAUUCGGCCUUUUUUGUGCGGAUGUGCCCGGAAGCAUUAAGCUUCUCCAGCGACGCUCCUUCACAAACUGCAUUCAGUUGUCCAUGGGAUACCAACUACCAGGUCAUCUUCUGCCCACCGAUCAAUCCAACGUCUUUACCUCCAAGUCAUCCUAACAAAUCUGGUUUUAGGCCAGUAAGCACAGAACCAUCAUCUAGGAAAGUAAUCACUGUUGUUUUGAUUGCAAUUACUGGUCCCAUAGUUUUCGUUCUCGCAUUGAUCUUUUUCGCUGUAUAUCGAAAAAGAACACGGCGGCACCAUGAGAUGGAGGAAGAGGAGGCAGAGUUCAGUCAGCUACAAGGAACACCAACGAGGUUUACGUUUCAACAGUUAGAAGCAGCAACAGAGCAAUUCAAGGACAAGCUUGGGGAAGGAGGAUUUGGGUCUGUUUUCAAGGGGCAGCUAGGCGAGGAAAGGAUUGCGGUAAAACGUUUGGAUCGAGCUGGUCAGGGGAAGAGAGAAUUUUUGGCGGAGGUUCAGACAAUCGGAAGCAUUCAUCAUAUCAGUCUGGUGAGGCUGUUUGGCUUCUGUGCAGAGAAAUCCCAUAGGCUCUUGGUUUAUGAGUAUAUGCCAAAAGGAUCCUUGGACAGGUGGAUCUAUGGUCGACAUGAAAAUAGUGCUCCUCCGUUAGAAUGGAGGGUGCGAUGCAAGAUUAUCGCUGACAUAGCUAAGGGUCUGUCUUAUCUUCAUGAGGAUUGCAUGAAGAGAAUUGCUCAUUUGGAUGUCAAGCCACAAAAUAUCCUCUUAGAUGAUGACUUCAAUGCUAAACUUUCCGAUUUUGGACUAUGCAAGCUCAUUGAUAGGGAUAUGAGUCAAGUGGUUACAAGAAUGAGAGGCACACCUGGUUAUCUAGCCCCUGAAUGGUUGACAUCACAAAUCACGGAGAAGGCCGAUGUCUAUAGCUUUGGCGUUGUGGUCAUGGAAAUCGUGAGCGGAAGAAAGAACCUCGACACUUCCCUGUCUGAAGAGAGCAUACAUCUUAUUACCCUAUUGGAAGAAAAGGUGAAGAACAAUCACUUGGAAGAUUUGAUUGACAAGAGCAGUAACGACAUGCAAGCACACGAGCAAGAUGUGAUUCAGAUGAUGAAGCUCGCGAUGUGGUGUUUGCAGAUUGAUUGCAAAGGAAGGCCUAAAAUGUCCGAGGUGGUCAAAGUCUUGGAAGGUACCAUGGAUGCAGAGAGCAACAUAGAUCAUAACUUUGUCACAACAAAUGAACCAAAUUUCGGUAUUGCUGGAAAUGUGAACUCUUCAGCUCCACCUGUAGCCUCAGAUGUAUCGGGUCCAAGGUGA